UCCACUCCAUCCUCAUUAAUCAUUAAUGAAAAUAUUGAACAAAACCUGCCCCAGGACCAACCCCUGGGGCACUCCGCUUGAUACCGGCUGCCAACUAGACUUUGAGUCGUUAAUCACUACCCAUUAAGUCCAACAAUCUAGCCAGCUUUCUAUCCACCUUAUAGUUCAUUCAUCCAAUCCAUACUUUUGUAACUUGCUGGCAAGAAUUCUGUGGGAGACCAUAUCAAAAGCUUUGCUAAA